rnacentral:rRNA from 1 species
UACAGAGGGUGCGAGCGUUAUCCGGAAUUACUGGGUUUAAAGGGUGCGUAGGCGGCCAAGUAAGUCAGGAGUGAAAGUUUGCGGCUCAACCGUAAAAUUGCUUUUGAUACUGCUAGGCUAGAAUUAGGAUGAGGUCAGCGGAAUGUGGCAUGUAGCGGUGAAAUGCAUAGAUAUGCCAUAGAACACCAAUUGCGAAGGCAGCUGGCUAGACCUGGAUUGACGCUGAGGCACGAAAGCGUGGGGAUCGAACAGG